CUACGGGAGGCUCCAGUGAGGAAUAUUGCACAGUGGGGGGAACCCUGAUGCAGCAACGCCGCGUGGAGGAUGACGCAUUUCGGUGUGUAAACUCCUUUUAUAUGUCAAGAAAAUGACGGUAGCAUAUGAAUAAGCACCGGCUAACUCCGUGCCAGCAGCCGCGGUAAUACGGAGGGUGCAAGCGUUACUCGGAAUCACUGGGCGUAAAGGACGCGUAGGCGGGUUGGAAAGUCAGGUGUGAAAUCCUACAGCUUAACUGUAGAACUGCACUUGAAACUUCUAAUCUAGAGUAUGGGAGGGGGAGAUGGAAUUAGUGGUGUAGGGGUAAAAUCCGUAGAUAUCACUAGGAAUACCUAAAGCGAAGGCGACCUCCUGGAACAUUACUGACGCUAAGGCGUGAAAGCGUGGGGAGCAAACAGGAUUAGAUACCCCUGUAGUC
rnacentral:rRNA from 1 species